CGUAAAUAAUCUACCCUGGUGUUUGGGAUAACCAGCCGAAAGGCUGACUAAUACCGGAUAUAUGAUUUUCUGUUGGGAGAAUCAGGAAAGACGGCCUCUUCAUGAAAGCUAUCGCAUUGGGAUGAGUUUGCGUACCAUUAGCUAGUUGGUGGGGUAAUGGCCCACCAAGGCAACGAUGGUUAGCGGGUCUGAGAGGAUGAUCCGUCACACUGGCACUGGAACACGGGCCAG
rnacentral:rRNA from 1 species